GACGAACGCUGGCGGCGUGCUUAACACAUGCAAGUCGAACGGAAAGGCCCUGCUUGCAUGGUACUCGAGUGUCGAACGGGGGAGUGACACGUGGGUGAUCUGCCCUGCACUUUGUGAUAAGCCUGGGAAACUGGGUCUAAUACCGGAGAGGAGCCCUUUUGAUUGUUGGUGUUGGAAAGUUUUUUCGGUGUGGGAUGAGCUCGCGGCCUAUCAGCUUGUUUGUGGGUUGAUGGGCUACCAAGGCAGGGACGGGUAGCCGGCCCGGGAGGGUGGACGGCCAACAUGGGACUGAGGAAAGGCCCAGACUCCCAAGGGAGGGAAGCGGGGGGAAUAUUGCACCAUGGGGGCAAGCCUGAUGCAGCGAAGCCGGGGGGGGGAAGACGGGCUUCGGGUUGUAAAACCCUUUCGCUCGGGAAGAAGCUUUUUGUGACGGUACCUAGAAAAGAAGCACCGGCUAACUACGUG
rnacentral:rRNA from 1 species